GAAAAAUCAUUCUAUCAAAUUUAAUGCAAAUUAUUCUACAAUGCUAUGACACUUAAGUGUCAAAAUGAAUCACAAAUUCUUAAAGUCAAGCAGUGUAUUCAGAUGUGGUAUAGUCAGUCUCCUCCUCCAGGUGUUUGUAAAUGUGUUCAGUGUAACGUUAGCAAAGACAGACUGAAGAACAAGACGGUUAAAACUGCUGUUCUCCUGUUCAUUCAUUGAUGUACUCAUUCAGUUUAGUUUAAUUUUGCACAACAUAUUUAUAGGAUUAUGAUGACACACUGGCAAAAAUAUUUCAUGUUGUUUAUCCCAUAUUUCUUGGGAUGUAGAUGUGAGGAUGCCGUCCACCAGAAUAUGAAAGUUCAAACAGCAGUUGAAGGUGCAGCUGUAACAAUCAAUUGUUCAUAUACAACCACUGAUCCAUCGCCAACUCUCUUCUGGUACCAGCAAAAAGUAAAUGGAUUCCCAGAGUACAUGCUGAACAGACUUGCUACUUAUGGAAAUAAUGAGGAAGAGUUUUAGAAGAGAUUUAAUGCAAGUCUGAACACACUAACAAAAUCAGUUCCUCUGACAAUCCAAAAUCUCUGUGUGUCUGACUCCGCUGUGUACUACUGUGCUCUGAGGACCACAGUGACUGAAACACACUCAACACUCAUACAAAAAAUAUUUUCAGCCUGAAGGUGGCGAUAUCUACAUACACACGAUGCCUCAUAUUUACUAUUGUAAGCAUUGAUUGUAAGUAAACUUCUGCUAUUGAACAUUAUCACACGAUAAGCAGGAAAUAAAGCUUCUCUUAUAGUUGUGGAGGACUGCUGUGAAAUUUGUCUAUUCACCCAUCCCCCUCAAAGAUAAAAAAAGAUGACUUGGUUGCUUGUUUUAUUGAUUUGUGUCUUUAAUUUCUAUGGUAAGUAAUCAAAACUGUCAUUCAACCUUUAUUUGUGUAAAUUAAAAAAUAAAAAUAAAAACAAAACUUCUUAAAAAGACACUAUGCUCUCACAUCUAGCUCUUUACUAUUGAGCUCAAUUUCAAAUAAUAAUUAUCAAAUGACAAUUUUCUAAUUGCUGCUGUAGUACAACACAGUACAUCCUUUCAUAGUGGAUGAAAAACAGGAGAUUGUAACUGGAUCUUUCUUCUGUUCUCCUAGGAGUGAAAUGGAAACAGAGAGGUGGGUCUACACAGAUCUAAUACGAUCUAAUCAAUCCAGACUGGAGAACAAACUAUUCAGUCUUCCUGAGAACACAGUGCACUGCACAAUGGAUAUCUUUUCAGU
rnacentral:lncRNA from 1 species